rnacentral:lncRNA from 10 species
CUUACUAUGGCAGUGGCUUAGAUGCCCAAAUAUGGGCAUUCAUGGGGUGGUGGCAGAGCCUGGGUCACAUGGAUGUGCUCAGACUGGUCAUGGCUCAGGGUGUGUUGUGGAGUCAGCCUUCAGUGAUGGUGGCUCCCAUGUCUGAAGUGUGGGUGUACAUGAUGUGGCCAUGGAGUUGAGGUCUACAGCAUAGGCAUGGAGUAGCUGCAGCUUCAGGGUCUGGGGUCCCCACAGGAAUGGGUUUUGGCCCUAGUCCAGCGAUGGCACAAGAGUGGCUCCAUUUUGGGAUUAAGGGCACAGCAGUGUCUUCCUAUUCAGGGCAUUUGCAUGGGGACAAUGUCUGUGUGUUGCCUCAGUGGUGAAAGCUACCAGCAUCCUCCGCAAAGGACUGCAUUGACGUCCACCAUGUGUCUGAUACUGAUAGCCCCUGCUUUCUUCUUUUUUCCUAGCCAUCUCCAGAUGUCUUGGGUAUGCCAGUCUCCUCAGUGACCUUUUCUGUUUGUGAUUAUUCUCCUUUUUUUUUUUUUUUUACUCCACUGUGUUGCUUCAGGUUCUUGAUUGAAACCUUCAACCCUCCCAACGCUCUCUUCAGUGUUCGAUAUCUGUCCAGUUGUGUGUGUUUUUGUGUGUAGGUUGAGGGGGGGGAUGAGGGAUGGUAUCUCCUACUCUGCUAUUUUGCUGACAUCACUCCCUUGUCUUAAGCAAAUUUAAGUAGAUUUAUUUUUGUAGGAGUUUCAGAAUAUUUUUUUACAUGACAAUAUGCAUCAUAAAUCUUCAAAGUAGGAUGCAGAGAUAUAAAGGGUUUUUCUUUUCUUUUUUUUUUUUUUUUGAGACAGGGUCUUGCUUUGUCACCCAGGCUGGAAUGCAGAGAUGUGACCUCGGCUCACUACAACCUCCACCUCCUGAGUUCAAGCGUUUCUCAUGCCUCAGCCAUCAUAAUAGUUAGGAUUACAGGCACCCACUACCACACUCAGCUAAUUUUUGUAUUUUUGAUAGAGACAGGUUUCACCAUUUUGCCUGCCGGUCUCAAACUCCUGAGCUCAAGCCAUCCACCUGCCUCAGCCUCCCAAAGUGCUGGGAUUACAGGCGUGAGCCACCACACCCAGCCCAAAGGGUUUUUCAAUUAAUUUUUUAUGGAAUACUUAUAAAUAUGUCACCAAAUAGUAUUCUGUGACAUAUCUGUUGGGGAAUCAGUGCUGUAGGCUGUAGAAUUUAGAGGUCUAGGCACAUAUGGCAAUGCAUAAUAUAGUGUGUAAUUCAUAAAACAAAUAUUGUCAAUACAGACUAUGUAGACCCAAUGACUUAUUUUCUAUUUAUUCAGAAAAUAUAUACAGCAGGUUUAUUUUGUGACAAGAUAUUUCCUAGAUAGGAAUAAGGAAGUAAAAAAAAGAGUUCUUGUUCUUAUAUAGAUUGCAUGCUAGUGUUCUAGUGGAAAGAUGCAACAAAUAAAUAAAAAAUACAUCAUAUAUAAUAUAUGUGCUUUAAAGAUGCAUAGAAGCAGUGCUUUCUUCAGCAGCACAUAUAUUAAAAUUAGAACGAUACAGAGAAGAUUAGCAUGGCUGCUGUGCAAGAAUAAUAUGCAAAUUUAUGAAAUAUUCCAUACAAAAAACAAAACAAAUUUUUAAUGCACAGAAGCAGAAUGGAGGAAAAGGGAGUGACAGUGGGGUACUAAUUUACUUAAGGUAUUUAGGGAAGCCUCUCUGUUAAGGUGACAUUUGAGCAAUUGCUUCAAGGAAGAGAAAAAUUAUACCAGAGAGAUAGCUGAGGAAAAGUUUUCGGUUGAAUUACGAGUUCCAAGGCUCCAAAACUUGCCAAUCCUUAAAAGAAAAAUAAGCGUGAAUGGAGGUGUGUUUUGGAAGAGAAGCUCAGUGAAGCAGAGAAAUUUGGUCACAUAGUGCUUUCUAGGUCAUGAUAAAGAGUUUUAAAUUUUAUUCUGAGCAAGAUAAGGAGCCUUUGUAGGCUUUGAGGUGAAGAAUGACAUGAUUUCAAUUCACUUUAAAAUAAAGAAAUUCCACAGACACAGAAUCCUGGGGCAUGAGAAUGUUUUACAUGGGGUGGGGGAGGGGAACUCAGAGGUUUUUGUUUUCUUUUUUGUUGUUGUUUUUACACAUUCCAAGUUUGAAAUCUCUGUGAUGCUUUUGAGAGGGAUGUGAAGACACUAUUCUUAGAAAAUUAAGACAAUCCUCUGCCUUGGAAAAUAACAACUCAAUCUGUUUUUCUAGAAUGAAUGGAUAGGCAAAUAUUAUUUCUGUCUUUAAAAUAUUAAAGUUAUUUUAAAUCAUAGCAUAUAUGGCACUUUGCUCAAGGGGAGGAAUGGUGUGGAUAUAAACAUUUUGGAGUAAAAAAUAUGGCCAUUAUUGACAAUUAGUUGAAGCCUGCCUCUGUUCCUGAUCAGAGACAUUGGAAUGCAGUAAUUCCAAGUGGAAUCCCAUUUUUUUUGUCUAUCAGACGGUAGAUGGUAGACCCUUGAUGAUAAUGAUUUUAUGGUGCUAUGAUUUGGAUAUGUGUCUUCUCCAAACCAUAUGUUGAAAUUUCAUCUGAAUGUUAGACGUGGGGCCUAAUGAGAGGUGUUUGGGUCAUGGGGUGAAUCCCUCAUAAAUAGAUUAGUGCUUUCUCUCAAAAGUGAGUGAGUUCUCACUCAUUAGUUCCCUCAAGAUCUGGUUGAUAAACACAGCCUGGCAACUCCCUUUUCCCUUUUGCCUCCUCUCUUGCCAUACGAUCUUUGCAUAAGCCAAUUUCCCUUCACUUUCUGCUAG